rnacentral:rRNA from 1 species
UGGGGAAUAUUGGACAAUGGGGGCAACCCUGAUCCAGCCAUGCCGCGUGAGUGAUGAAGGCCUUCGGGUUGUAAAGCUCUUUUGGGUGGGACGAUGAUGACGGUACCACCAGAAUAAGCUCCGGCUAACUUCGUGCCAGCAGCCGCGGUAAUACGAAGGGAGCUAGCGUUGUUCGGAAUUACUGGGCGUAAAGGGCGCGUAGGCGGUCUAUCAAGUCAGGUGUGAAAGCCCUGGGCUCAACCCGGGAAUUGCGCUUGAGACUGAUAGACUUGAAUUCGGGAGAGGUUGGUGGAAUUCCCAGUGUAGAGGUGAAAUUCGUAGAGAUUGGGAAGAACACCCGUGGCGAAGGCGGCCAACUGGACCGACAUUGACGCUGAGGCGCGAAAGCGUGGGGAGCAAACA